UACUGUCUAUUAUAAACAUUAAAUAAAUGAGAAGAAGCUACUAGCGAAAGUUGUCUGUGAUAAAUAUUGACGUUUAGGACUAAACCCGGUUGAGCUUAUUGCUUCGGCUAUUAUUUAUUGCAAACAUACAAUUGAGGGAUAUAUUUUGUGUUGAGUGAUUCGAGUACUUUUGUACUGAACGUAAAAAUAGCCUGUUUUUUUGCAGGUCACCAGUUUAUUGAAAAAUGUAUCAGUUUGUUCAACGACGAAUUCGAACAAUAACGAUAUCAACAGCAAACUGAGAAACCGUAGGAAAGAUCAUGUCUGUCUAGAGAAGAACCAAUUUUAAAAUAUAAAGGAGGUUUAUUCAGUCUUGAAGCAGGUUUCAUGUGAUAUUUUAUAUUUCGUAAAUUUCGAGAGAAUUAAAUGCGAUAAGCACGCAGCCUGCAGUGUAUGUGCCUGUAGCAAUAGAAGUCUUUAUCCAACCCAAAACGUUAAGAUAGGAAUUGUUCUUUCUGUCCUUAACCAUUUAACUAAAUCCUAUUUAAGAGCAAAUUUGAUGUUGUAAUCUUUGCUAUAAUAUUGCUUCCAGCUUCUUACGCUAAUGACAACUGUCACUUGAGGUUCUUGCGGAGCUAGAAAAAAGGGGAAGACACAAAGUAAAAAAAUCUGGUGAUCGAAUUAGCAAAAGUGCUCCGAUGAAAUUGGAAUAGCCGUCAAGCAAACGUCAAUGAUCUAAUCCACUUUAAUUGUCAGCACGCUAUAAUCUCACGAAAAAGCUAUCAUUACUGAGGCUACAGUUAUCCUUCAAAUAAUAGACAACCAGCAUUAUCUACGGAACGGUUCAAUAUAGGAUCAGAGCUAAACACGGAAUUUGCUAGAUGCCUGCGCCGGUAUUUGUUUGUUGCAAUAGCUUUCAUCGUCAGUAUAGUAGCGGUAUCAUCGUUUGUUUCAACUAUUGUAAAGGUAAUAGCUAUGAUUCGGCGCAGACAAGUCUGUCGAUCAGCUGUCCAACAAGUGCAAGCCGAUGAACCCAAUUCGGUCGAAGAAUGGGAUUGCUGAUUAUUGGGCUGGGUGAUGAACAACCACCCCACGAUGAUGUAGCGAAUUCAAUCACAGUAGAAAUACUAAUGAUAACAUAUCCAAGAAAAGGGGUCACAGAGGGGUCGCUUAACCGCUAUCAGUUGUGACAACGGCUACCAACCACUGCUAACAUGGCAUGUCAACAGAAUCUUGAGGGAUGCAAAUUGGCCCCACAGCUUCGUUUAAAAAGUGGCAAACAAGCCCCUUGAAUAUGAACGGGUUGACGACGCCCAGGGACAAAAGAAUUUGUGGCUUGAACACAACCAGCAGGCUCAAUUCUUCUUGUGUUAGUGCUAACGAUUCCUGCUAGCAGUGUUUGAGCUUUAAAAGCAACGAGUCUGACACUGUACUCGGGCAACCAUAUGAGCUUUUGUCUUUCGGCCAUUCGGGUUUGUCUGUGCUGAGACUUCCCAAAAGGAUAAGGACGAUCGACUUAUUUGUAAUGCAACGAAAAAAUAAUCGAAAUUAGGCAAACUUGCAAGCAAAUUUCGGAAGGAGUCCUUAUUUGCCGAAGGAAACAAGUUAACCUGUAACAGGUACACAUAAUGAAACGCUACGCAGUUUAUGGAUGCGAUGCAAUUUGUGAAACUCAUUCUGCUAGCGCAAGAUUUUUAGCUUGCUGUUGCUAGCUUAGACAUUUAGCCUAUGUACAGUAGUGACAGGUUAACCCGGAGUCGCCAGAUUACCAAAAGGAUCUGCCACUCCAAAUAACAUCUACGCAUGUCUAAGUGGGUUAACGUAAGGCGUUGACAUUUAAAUCCUCGCCCUACGGUAAGCAUUAUGUAAUAUUCGUGAUCGAUGAUAAUGGUUCUGUAUGUGAUUCGUUUUAUCGUCGGUUAUAUCAGUUAUAGUUCGUUGAUACCUUAUGAGCUAUGGACAUUUCUGGAUAACGAAUUUUGAUUUAAACACUAUAUUACAGCAUAUCCUAGCCGCUCCCUCACAAUUAUUGGAUAUUAAAAUUAACGAAAAAGUUAAACGAUUCUUUGUUUUUUUGUCGGAAAUAAAUCGCUGAGCUGUACCCUGGCAUUAUCGAUAUGCUGAAGCGUCCGUGACGCAUGAACAUGCUUACAUAAUAGACCUCAAUGGGUGACAAGACAACCACCGGAACGCGCGUCGAAUACCCUCGAUCUUAUUGCUAUUACAUUUAUUAUUGUAUCAUCAGGAAAAAUCGCGGCACGUGACUAACGAGUAAAAAUGUCCAACAUAGACUUAUCGGUCAAAAAAAGCUUCCGUCAAAAAGUUUCACAAUAACCAAAAGCCUAAAAUCAAUCUAGCACGUGGCCGCCCCCCUUUAAUAAAUACGUGUAAGCUGAUUCAUGCCCUUUGUGUACGUCUUCUACUAUUGCAAUGACAUGACUGUUGUUUUUAUUGUUAUUGUUAGGAAGCGUUUUGGCUAUUGUCAAUGCACGCUGCUGUUGUCUCUGUCGCGGUUAGAAUAGAGUGAAGCACGGUCAUCAACGGGUGCUUUGCCAAAUAACAACAACUAUCAGUCACCAGCAAGAGCUAGUUCCCGCUAAUCGUCGGCAUCAUUGAUCAUGGCAAGCCGCAGCGCCCAGGAAGGUACUGUUGCAAUGUGUGAACCAAACAAGUGAGCAGGAAGUGUGCUGCUGCUGAUACCGAUGCGGCUGGUAUACUGUUUACAGCGAUGGUCGGUACAGCGCGUUUCGUAGACGUUCAGUGACAUUGUGGUUCGACCCUUAUACCGACACUAUCAACGACACAAGCUAGCAAGUUGGCCUGGCAGGACAGGCAAGCGAAUGAUGGUCGCCUUCGACCUUCGUUGGUGGAACUCGCUUGAUAAUGAAUUAAGCAUAGAAAUCGAUGCUAUUAUUACUAAAUAAAUAAAAGCCUUGGAGUUUUACGUCCGGUACUGCCUAAUUUUAACAUUGCUUUAGACGAUUGGCCUCUUCCGCGCGGCGAACUGCGUCUACGCCCCGUUUCGAACGUGUUUGUUUACUAAAUUUAGGAUUACGUGAUUACGAAUUGAAAACGUUUUUACUUCUGCCCGAGUUGUAUAACGGCCAAAAAGCGACUCGCUCAACGAAGCUAGACAAAUCCAUUUUUUUUUUUACUAUAAUGGGCACAUUGGUGAUAUUGCCCUCAUUGCUGCUGCUGCACUCUCCAUCGCGGUUUGCAAUAGGCAGUAUGGAUUCGCUGCUAUUGCUUCUAGCGUUUAUGCUGGCCGGGCUAUUGCGAGAACCGCUAGAGCACGAACUGUCCUAGACAAAGCGGACGAAUAGCUCUUGACACUGUGUUGUCAACCACAAGAGUGCCAUGGAUGAAGCAGUGAUCAGCGAUCAGCGACGGCAGCGUGCUCCAUUUGGAUCAGCAGCUGUG
rnacentral:lncRNA from 1 species